AGGGUUUGAUCCUGGCUCAGAAUGAACGUUGGCGGCGUGGAUUAGGCAUGCAAGUCGUACGCACAGCAAUGUGAGUGGCGCAAGGGUGAGUAAUGCGAAGGUAACCAACCCUGGAGUUGGGCAUAGCCGCGGGAAACUGCGGGUAAUUCCCAGCGAUGUUACGAGGUGGCAUCAUCUUGUAACCAAAGGUGUGAUUCCGCUCUGGGACGGGCCUUCGUGGUAUUAGCUAGUUGGUAAGGUAACGGCUUACCAAGGCUACGAUGCCUACCGGGUGUGAGAGCAUGACCCGGCACACUGGAACUGAGACACUGUCCAGACACCUACGGGUGGCUGCAGUCGAGAAUCUUCGGCAAUGGGCGAAAGCCUGACCGAGCGACGCCGCGUGAGGGAUGAAGGCCUUCGGGUUGUAAACCUCUUUCGUAGAGGAGGAAGGGGCUGUGAAGAACAGUCCUUGACCUAUUCUAGGAAGAAGCUUGGGCUAAGUUCGUGCCAGCAGCCGCGGUAAGACGAACCAAGCGAACGUUAUUCGGAAUUACUGGGCUUAAAGCGCGUGUAGGCGGAUGGCCACGUCGGUUGUUGAAAUCCCCCGGCUUAACCGGGGAACAGGCACCGAUACGAGUUAUCUGGAGGUGGGUAGGGGAGACUGGAACUUCCGGUGGAGCGGUGAAAUGCGUUGAGAUCGGAAGGAACGCCUGCGGCGAAAGCGAGUCUCUGGCCCCAUACUGACGCUGAGACGCGAAAGCCAGGGGAGCAAACGGGAUUAGAUACCCCGGUAGUCCUGGCUGUAAACGAUGAACACUAGGUGUCGGGGGAAUCGACCCCCUCGGUGUCGUAGCCAACGCGUUAAGUGUUCCGCCUGGCGAGUACGCACGCAAGUGUGAAACUCAAAGGAAUUGACGGGGGCUAUCGU
rnacentral:rRNA from 1 species